rnacentral:lncRNA from 1 species
GUCCUCCGAAACGCAACCCAACCAAGCCGCACUGCUUCUUGACACAAUGCCCGCUUAACCUGGAAGCCAGCUGCACCAAUGUGUCGGAGGAAACACUGUGCACCUGACGACCGUGUUAACGUGCACUGCGCCCUAACUUGCACUGCGAACAUCCCUGCUGGCCAAACCCUCCACUAACCCGGACGACGCUGAGCCAAUUGUAUGCCGUCCCAUGGGUCUCCCGGUCGCAGCAGGCUGCGACAGAAACUGGACUCGAACCCAGGAUCUCUAGUGGCACAGCUACAGUAGCACUGCGAUGAUAUGAAGACAGUGCAACAGUUGACUCCGACACUUGAACUUGAGAUGAACGUGGUAGCAUCGGGCAUUUGGAAAUUGCUCCCAAUGAUGAAACAAACUUGUGGAUGUCUACAAUUUUUUUUCUGAGGUCUUGGCUGAUUUCUUUUGAUUUUCCCAUGAUGUCAAGUAAAGAGGCACUGAGUUUGAAGGUGCCGAGGCGGUCACUAAAGCCAAGGAGCAUGCUGGGAGAUUACAGUGUAUGUAAUCCAGAGAAUGAGGGUGCAUUCAUGUAGCGAGUUGGCUUGGCACACUUGUCGAAGUGUGAACAGUCCUAGCCCUUUCCUGCAGUCAAAUGACCUAGAGGCCUCAUGGGUGGAAUGUUAUUUAUAUUUUUCAUAAUUUCAUAAUGAAUAAACAUUUAUUCUUUCCGCUGACAAUCUGGUGUUUCUAUGUCAAACAAUUUCAGUCUUCUGUGAUGUAUAUAAAGUGAAAUAUUGGCAUGCAAACUCAAAAUUGAAUACAUUUCAACUAUCUGACAUGGUACAGGUAUCUUAUUUUAAUUAAGCCUGUAACCAUGUGUGGAAGGUGUAUACUUUUGUUUCAAAGUAGAUCUAUUUAAGACUACCAAUAAACACUCUGUGUGACCCUGAUUUCGCCCACUAAGUUAAUAUCCUAGUUCUUUUCCAAGGCACAACCUCCUUAUGGUAAACAUAUUCAAUCAUAAAUAUUAAAAUAUGUAUUGCAUUCAUACUCAUUAAAUGACACAUUUUCAACAAAUUUAGUUGGAUUUAAUUUUGCUUACAUCAACAUCGUGUAAUUAUUCAUUUGAAAGAUUGGAAGGAAAAUAUUAUUUAUAACAUAGGGGCUGUCACGUCCUGACCAGUAUUAGGGAUUAUUUGUAAUUGUAGUUUGGUCAGGACGUGGCAGAGGGUAUUUUGUUUAUGUGUUUCGGGGUGGUGGUUUAUUUAGUAGGGUGUUUGGUUAGUUAGUUCCGGGUUAUGUUCUGUGUUUGUAUAUCUAUGUCUAGUUAAUUGGGGUUGGACUCUCAAUUGGAGGCAGGUGUUUUCUAGUUGCCUCUGAUUGACAGUCCUAUAUAUGGGUAUGUGUUUGGUUUUGUGUUUUUGGGAGAUUGUUUCUUGUUUUGCUGUGUGUGCCUGACAAGACUGUCUAGUUCGUCUGUGUUUUUGUAUACGUGUUUAUUUUGGUUUUUUCCUUCUUUGUCUGUAAUAAAG